GACAAAGAAGACAAGAGUUAGAAAUUGAUAUUCACAGCAAGUUCAUAGUGGCUGUGAUUUUGGCUGACGGAAACAAAAGCGACCGACCGACCACGAGAAAGAUCCCAUGGCCGCUUUUGGCCAUUGAAAGUGGAGCCGCCAUGAGAGCCAAGGGAGCAGCCAAGCAGCUCCAAGUCCAUUUCCAGUUCCUCCACACUCCGCUGGGCAAGUGCUAACCAGCUAACCACUUGGUCCGGGCGAUUUGAUUUCACUGACCUCAAUUAUGGCUACUGCCAACGAGAUGGUCCGAGGUUGCAAUGUCGGGAGACCUGCUGCUGGACUAUUGAAUUAUUCAUUUUCUACAACAGCAGCAUAAAAAAAAGAGAAGAGAAACCCGCCAACAACAGCCCAUAAAAUGGUAUUGUCGGGGGAAAAGUGGCCAAAUAGCAAAUGGCAAAAAGCAGAGACAUCUUGCCUAAUUACAGAAGAUCUUUGGGUAUAGCAUCCUUACCUCCAAAGUUUAUUUGUCUAGUCCAAAAUCCACCCCCUCCAGAAGCACUUUGCAGCUUGUCGAAGCUUAUGCAACGCCAUUUUGCCCGGGGAUUUGCAUCACUGAGCGUGGCCAGCCUUUGUUGUCAUGAAAUUCCACCGCCACAAUGGAAAGGAUUCCGACCAUGGAAUUGAGGUAAGAUUUUCCCCAUAUAAUUGCUUUCACGUUCCUUGGCCUUAUCAAAAAACUAAACAGUCACGAAUAUUUUCAAAUUUUUCUAUAUAAAGCAGCGAACAUGUGCUGCGUUUCUAAAAUAACUAAAAAUGCAUAUUUUUCUACGUUUGCUUAUCUUUACUGUCAUACUGGUUGUGUGCCUAGGUACAAAAAUUAAUCGCAUCUUAUACAUUAAAAAGCGGGUCACAAGCUAA